CAAGAGCGUAUGUAAAAGUUGUUGCAGUUAAAAAGCUCGUAGUUGAACCUUGGGUUUGGUUGGCCGGUCCGCUUUUUUGCGAGUACUGGAUUCAACCGAGCCUUUCCUUCUGGCUAACCAGUCGUUUCGGCGGCUGGCGAACCAGGAUUUUUACUUUGAGAAAAUUAGAGUGUUCAAAGCAGGCAUUAGCUUGAAUAUAUUAGCAUGGAAUAAUAGAAUAGGACGUUAUGGUUCUAUUUUGUUGGUUUCUAGGACCAUCGUAAUGAUUAAUAGGGACGGUCGGGGGCGUCAGUAUUCAGUUGUCAGAGGUGAAAUUCUUGGAUUUACUGAAGACUAACUACUGCGAAAGCAUUUGCCAAGGACGUUUUCAUUAA
rnacentral:rRNA from 1 species